UACGGAGGAUCCAAGCGUUAUCCGGAUUUAUUGGGUUUAAAGGGUGCGUAGGCGGUCUGUUAAGUCAGGGGUGAAAGACGGUGGCUCAACCAUCGCAGUGCCUUUGAUACUGACGGACUUGAAUGAACCUGAGGUAGGCGGAAUGUGACAAGUAGCGGUGAAAUGCAUAGAUAUGUCACAGAACACCAAUUGCGAAGGCAGCUUACUAAAGUUUAAUUGACGCUGAGGCACGAAAGCGUGGGGAUCAAACAGGAUUAGAAACCCUCGUAGUCC
rnacentral:rRNA from 1 species